UACGUAGGGUGCGAGCGUUGUCCGGAAUUAUUGGGCGUAAAGAGCUCGUAGGCGGUCUGUCGCGUCGAUCGUGAAAACUUGGGGCUUAACCCUGAGCUUGCGGUCGAUACGGGCAUGACUGGAGUUCGGCAGGGGGAGACUGGAAUUCCUGGUGUAGCGGUGAAAUGCGCAGAUAUCAGGAGGAACACCGGUGGCGAAGGCGGGGUCUCUGGGCCGAUACUGACGCUGAGGAGCGAAAGCGUGGGGAGCGAACGG
rnacentral:rRNA from 1 species